AUUGAACGCUGGCGGCAGGCCUAACACAUGCAAGUCGAGCGAGCGGCGCACAGGGGAGAAAAGUCUGGGAAACUGCCCGAGGGAGGGGGGUAAAUACUGGAAAAGGUAUCGCAUACCGCGUACCAUCAGGUGUGCGCAGAUGUGAUUAGCUAGUAGGUGGGGUAACGGCUCACCUAGGCGACGAUCCCUAGCUGGUCUGAGAGGAUGACCAGCCACACUGGAACUGAGACACGGUCCAGACUCCUACGGGAGGCAGCAGUGGGGAAUAUUGCACAAGGGGCGCAAGCCUGAUGCAGCCAUGCCGCGUGUGUGAAGAAGGCCUUCGGGUUGUAAAGCACUUUCGGCGGGGAGGCGUUACCCGCAGAAGAAGCACCGGCUAACUACGUGCCAGCAGCCGCGGUAAUAC
rnacentral:rRNA from 1 species